CGCUAUCACUCCUACGGGGAGGCAGCAGUAGGGAAUCUUCCACAAUGGGCGCAAGCCUGAUGGAGCAACACCGCGUGAGUGAAGAAGGGUUUCGGCUCGUAAAGCUCUGUUGUUAAAGAAGAACACGUAUGAGAGUAACUGUUCAUACGUUGACGGUAUUUAACCAGAAAGUCACGGCUAACUACGUGCCAGCAGCCGCGGUAAUACGUAGGUGGCAAGCGUUAUCCGGAUUUAUUGGGCGUAAAGAGAGUGCAGGCGGUUUUCUAAGUCUGAUGUGAAAGCCUUCGGCUUAACCGGAGAGGUGCAUCGGAAACUGGAUAACUUGAGUGCAGAAGAGGGUAGUGGAACUCCAUGUGUAGCGGUGGAAUGCGUAGAUAUAUGGAAGAACACCAGUGGCGAAGGCGGCUACCUGGUCUGCAACUGACGCUGAGACUCGAAAGCAUGGGUAGCGAACAGGAUUAGAUACCCUGGUAG
rnacentral:rRNA from 1 species